CAGCCGCCGCGGGAAUACGUAGGGCGCAAGCGUUGUCCGGAAUUAUUGGGCGUAAAGAGCUCGUAGGCGGUCUGUCGCGUCUGGUGUGAAAUCCCGAGGCUCAACCUCGGGCUUGCAUCGGGUACGGGCAGACUAGAGUGCGGUAGGGGAGACUGGAAUUCCUGGUGUAGCGGUGGAAUGCGCAGAUAUCAGGAGGAACACCGAUGGCGAAGGCAGGUCUCUGGGCCGCAACUGACGCUGAGGAGCGAAAGCAUGGGGAGCGAACAGGAUUAGAUACCCCCGUAGUCCCUGUCUCUUAUAA
rnacentral:rRNA from 1 species